GUGGGGAAUAUUGGACAAUGGGCGAAAGCCUGAUCCAGCCAUGCCGCGUGAGUGAAGAAGGCCUUAGGGUUGUAAAGCUCUUUCAGCGGGGAAGAUAAUGACGGUACCCGCAGAAGAAGUCCCGGCUAACUUCGUGCCAGCAGCCGCGGUAAUACGAAGGGGACUAGCGUUGUUCGGAUUUACUGGGCGUAAAGCGCGCGUAGGCGGAUCACUAAGUCAGGGGUGAAAUCCCGAGGCUUAACCUCGGAACUGCCUUUGAUACUGGUGAUCUGGAGAUUGGGAGAGGUUGGUGGAAUUCCGAGUGUAGAGGUGAAAUUCGUAGAUAUUCGGAGGAACACCAGAAGCGAAGGCGGCCAACUGGCCCAAUACUGACGCUGAGGCGCGAAAGCGUGGGGAGCAAACAGGAUUAGAUACCCUAGUAGUCC
rnacentral:rRNA from 1 species